UGUGGCACAAUAGGUAGCGCACUAGCUUAAAAAGCCAAAGGUACCGGGUUCGAUUCCCGGUA
rnacentral:tRNA from 1 species